rnacentral:rRNA from 1 species
GUUGACCUCGGAUCAGGUAGGGAUACCCGCUGAACUUAAGCAUAUCAAUAAGCGGAGGAAAAGAAACCAACAGGGAUUGCCCUAGUAACGGCGAGUGAAGCGGCAACAGCUCAAAUUUGAAAUCUGGCGCAAGCCCGAGUUGUAAUUUGUAGAGGAUGCUUCUGGGCAGCGGCCGGUCUAAGUCCCUUGGAACAGGGCGUCAUAGAGGGUGAGAAUCCCGUAUGCGACCGGCCGGCACCCGUCACGUAGCUCCUUCGACGAGUCGAGUUGUUUGGGAAUGCAGCUCUAAAUGGGAGGUAAAUUCCUUCUAAAGCUAAAUACCGGCCAGUGACCGAUAGCGCACAAGUAGAGUGAUCGAAAGAUGAAAAGCACUUUGGAAAGAGAGUUAAAAAGCACGUGAAAUUGUUGAAAGGGAAGCGCAUGCAACCAGACUUGUCGGCGGUGUUCCGCCGGUCUUCUGACCGGUCCAUUCGCCGUCGGCAGGCCAGCAUCAUCUGGGUGCGCCGGAUAAAGGCGUGGGGAAUGUGGCCCCUCGGGGUGUUAUAGCUCCACGCACAAUACGGCGCCGCCCGGGUGAGGUCCGCGCUUCGGCUAGGAUGCUGGCGUAAUGGUUGCCUGCGACCCGUCUUGAAACACGGACCAAGGAGUCUAACAUCUAUGCGAGUGUUCGGGUGUCAAACCCCUACGCGGAAUGAAAGUGAACGGAGGUGGGAAGCUUCGGCUGCACCAUCGACCGAUCCUGAUGUCCUCGGAUGGAUUUGAGUAAGAGCAUAGCUGUUGGGACCCGAAAGAUGGUGAACUAUGCCUGAAUAGGGUGAAGCCAGAGGAAACUCUGGUGGAGGCUCGCAGCGGUUCUGACGUGCAAAUCGAUCGUCAAAUUUGGGUAUAGGGGCGAAAGACUAAUCGAACCAUCUAGUAGCUGGUUCCUGCCGAAG